rnacentral:tRNA from 1 species
ACCUGGGUGGCUCAGUCGGUUAAGUGUCUGACUUUGGCUCAGGUCAUGAUCUCACAGUUCAUGGGUUCAAGCCCCACAUCAGGUU